rnacentral:rRNA from 1 species
CCUACGGGAGGCAGCAGUGGGGAAUAUUGCACAAUGGGGGGAACCCUGAUGCAGCGACGCCGCGUGGGGGAGGAAGUACUUCGGUAUGGAAAGCCCUAUCAGCAGGGAAGAAAAUGACGGUACCUGACUAAGAAGCCCCGGCUAACUCCGUGCCAGCAGCCGCGGGAAUACGUAGGGGGCACGCGUUAUCCGGAUUUACUGGGUGUAAAGGGAGCGUAGACGGCGUGCCAAGUCUGGUGUGAAAGGCGGGGGCUCAACCCCGGGACUGCAUUGGAAACUGGCAUGCUGGAGUGCCGGAGGGGCAAGCGGAAUUCCUUGUGUAGCGGUGAACUGCGUAGAUAUUAGGAGGAACACCGGUGGCGAAGGCAGCUUACCAAACUAUAUCUGACGUUGAGGCACGAAAGCGUGUGUAGCAAACAGGAUUAGAUACCCGUGUAGUC